rnacentral:rRNA from 2 species
GAAUCUAGCUUCAGGUUUGGGACAACCACUGGAAACGGUGGCUAAUACCGAAUGUGCCGAGAGGUGAAAGGCUUGCUGCCUGAAGAUGAGCUCGCGUCUGAUUAGCUAGUAGGUGGGGUAAGAGCCUACCUAGGCGACGAUCAGUAGCUGGUCUGAGAGGAUGAUCAGCCACACUGGGACUGAGACACGGCCCAGACUCCUACGGGAGGCAGCAGUGGGGAAUUUUCCGCAAUGGGCGAAAGCCUGACGGAGCAAUACCGCGUGAGGGAGGAAGGCUCUUGGGUUGUAAACCUCUUUUCUCAGGGAAGAACACAAUGACGGUACCUGAGGAAUCAGCAUCGGCUAACUCCGUGCCAGCAGCCGCGGUAAUACGGAGGAUGCAAGCGUUAUCCGGAAUGAUUGGGCGUAAAGCGUCCGCAGGUGGCUGUGUAAGUCUGCUGUCAAAGAGCGAAGCUCAACUUCGUAAAGGCAGUGGAAACUACACGGCUAGAGUGCGUUCGGGGCAGAGGGAAUUCCUGGUGUAGCGGUGAAAUGCGUAGAGAUCAGGAAGAACACCGGUGGCGAAGGCGCUCUGCUAGGCCGCAACU